GUGGGGAAUAUUGGACAAUGGGGCAACCCUGAUCCAGCCAUGCCGCGUGAGUGAAGAAGGCCCUCGGGUUGUAAAGCUCUUUUGUCCGGAAAGAAAAGCUUCGGGUUAAUACCCCGGGGUUCUGACGGUACCGGAAGAAUAAGCACCGGCUAACUUCGUGCCAGCAGCCGCGGUAAUACGAAGGGUGCAAGCGUUACUCGGAAUUACUGGGCGUAAAGCGUGCGUAGGUGGUUGUUUAAGUCUGAUGUGAAAGCCCUGGGCUCAACCUGGGAAUGGCAUUGGAAACUGGGCAGCGAGAGUGCGGUAGAGGGUAGUGGAAUUCCCGGUGUAGCAGUGAAAUGCGUAGAGAUCGGGAGGAACAUCUGUGCCGAAGGCGACUGCCUGGACCAGCACUGACACUGAGGCACGAAAGCGUGGGGAGCAAACA
rnacentral:rRNA from 1 species